UUGGCUGGGAGUUAAAGGAUGCAUUGUUGUUCUGAUGGAGACUGAGGGACUAGAAUCAUACUGAAACAUAACAAAAACAUACUGCACUAUCAGUCGAGGGUGCAGAUAGAAGACGGACUGUUUCAGGAAGACUGUGAUAAUUUCUUCUGGACGAUGACGUAUCUGGGAUACAUAGUUUCCAUCGGUCUUCUUCUGACCAUGGUGGUGGACAGUCAGCAGCAAACACCCAAAAUGAAGGCUCGUCGGAUUAAGCCUCCCAAACAGCCCAAACCUCCCAAGCUUCCCAAGCUUCCCAAGCUCCCCAAGCCUCCCAAACCCCCAAAACCAACAAAGCCUCUCUUCUCUGAACCUGAGGAACCAAACCAUCUUACAACACUGCCGCCGCCUCUCCCUCCAGGCCCAGUGUCCGUCUUCCCAGACUGCCCAAGGGAAUGCUUGUGUCCCCCUGACCAUCCCAACGCUCUCUACUGCGACAGUCGGAACCUAAGGGUGGUGCCCUUCAUUCCACCUCGGAUCGAAUACCUCUACCUCCAAAACAACUUCAUUGAGUCCUUGCCAGAGGGCCCCUUCCAGAAUGCAACAGGUCUCAAAUGGAUUAACCUGGACAAUAACAGGAUUUCCAGUCGAAAAGUGGACAAGGGUCUCUUUAACAUCCUGAACAAGGUCCUCUUCUUGUACAUGGAUAGAAACAGGUUGGAUGAAGUUCCUGCGAACCUCCCUCCCAGCCUGGAGCAACUUCGGCUUGCCAGGAACCAGAUCUCCAAGAUCCCCCCGGGCAGCUUCAGAAGACUGAGCAACCUGACCCUCUUGGACCUUCACCACAAUAAGCUGCCAGACAAAGUCUUCAAUAAGAACACGUUCAAAGGUCUCAAGAGCCUCAUGCAACUCAACCUGGCUCAUAACUCCCUGAAGAAGAUGCCCCCAACCAUACCUCCGCACAUCUUCCAGCUCUUUCUGGAUAGGAAUCGGAUCAGUCAAAUCCCUGAUAAUUAUUUCAAGAAUUUGCACCAGUUAACGUUUUUGAGGUUGAAUUUCAACCAAUUGACAGAUACGGGAAUUCCCAAUGGCACCUUUAAUUUGUCAUCUCUCCUUGGUCUCCACCUCUGCAACAACAAACUCAAUUCCAUACCAGUCUUUAACCCAAAGUUGGAGCAUCUCUACCUCAGCUACAACUACAUAGAAAAGAUCAAUGGAACCCAGAUCUGCCCAAGUCCCGUCAGUAGCGUGGCUAUGCAAGCUCAUGACCUGGAGGCCAUCCCACGGCUGCGGUAUCUGCGUCUGGACGGCAAUGCACUCUCACCCCCAAUCCCGAUAGACUUCAUGAUGUGCUUCAGGCUCCUGCAGGCCAUCGUGAUAUGAAGACUACAUCCCUGCAAGUUCGCCUCCCCGCCUUUUCUAAAUGGCAGCCAUCUUUUUAUGGGACUGGAUCUGUAUACACUGCAGUGCAGUUCAAUUGCAUUGUUCUUGCAGGAAAGCAAACGUUGCAGGCAGCUACAAAAAAAAUAAAUGGAACACGAUUUUCCUCGGCAAAACAAAGCUGGAGUUAUUUUUAAUGUUAUCAAGGAUAGCUUAAGUGUUUACACUCAGUGGCCACUUCAUUUGGUGCACCUGUACGCCUGCUUGUUAAUGCAAAUAUCUAAUUAGCCAAUCAUGUGGCAGCAACUCAAUGCAUAAGCACAUGCAGACAUGGUCAGGAGGUUCAGGUAUUGUCCUGACAUCAGAAUGGGGAAGUCAUGUGAUCUAAGUGAUUUUGCCUGUGGAAUGAUUGUUGGUGCCAGACAGGGUGGUUUGAGUAUCUCAGAAACUGCUGAUCUCCUGGUAUUUUCACACACAACACUCUCUAGAGUUUACAGAGAAUAAUGCAAAAAACUAAUUUUAAAAAUCUAGUCAGCUUCAGUUCUGUGGGCAAAAACGCCUUGGUAAUGAGAGGGGUCAGAGGAGAAUGGCCAGACUGAUUCAAGUUGACAGGAAGGUGACAGUAACUCAAAUAAUCCUUUGUUACUGGUGUGUAGAAGAGCAUCUCUAAAUGCGUGACACAUCACACCUUGAGGUGGAUGGGUUACAACAGCAGAAGAACACAAACAUAGUCCUGUGAUACCAAAUGAAGUGGUCACUCAGUACAUUUGGGUCUUUCUGCUCAAUGAUCAACCACCAGCCACAUCAUCUCCGGUCCACCCCUCCUGCUUUCUGGAGGGACUGCCCUGCCCAUGAUUCCCUGGUUUGCAAAUCCCACCUCACCCAUCCUUGCCCCUCCCUAGGACCUUUCCCCUGUAAUCAUAGGUGGCGCCUACGUCUCCUCCAUGACCCAUCCACAUUCACAUACAUCUCACCCUUGUCCGUUGCAUCUUGUGCUCCUGAUGUGACCUCCUCUACAUUUGUGAGACCAAGCGAAUGAGGCGGGGCGACCACUUUGUGGAGCACCUUCUUUCCAUUCGCCGUGGUUUUCUAGACCUCCCAGUUACCCGCCAUUUUAAUUCCUCUCCCCUUUCCUAAACUGAACUGUCUGUCCUCGGCUUCCUCCAUUACUAGGGUGAAGCUGAACAUAAACUAGAGGAACAGAACUGCAUGAGCUCCAGGGUUAACUACAAUCCAACCGCAUGAACGUUGAAUUCCCCAACUUCAGGUAACCUGUUCCAUCUCUUGCCCUUUUCUCUCUCCUCCUGAUCUCCUCAGUUCCUCCUGUCUCAGCUCCCACACCUGCUUUCUUCCCUACCUCCAUCUGUCCAUCACCCACACACUCAUCCCACUGGGUCCCCUUCCCCACUGUUCCCAUCUGAUUUGUUUCCAUGCUCUCCAAUCAGAUCCCAGCAUCUGCAGCCCUUUGUCACCUCCACCCAUCACCUCCCAGCCUCUGUCACCAUUCCCACUCUCCCUUCCUCCAUCUGCCUAUCACCCCUCCUCACCUGGAUCCACCCAUCACCUCCCAGCCUCUGUUGCUAUUCCCACUCUCCCUUCCUCCAUCUGCCUAUCACCCCUCCUCACCUGGAUCCACCCAUCACCUCCCAGCCUCUGUUGCUAUUCCCCCUGUGAACCCUCUCACCUGAAUCUACCUAUCACCUCCCAGCCUUUGUCACUGCUCCCCCGUCAGCCUAUCACCUCUCACCUGGCAGCUCUCCACUCUCUCAAUUCAACUGAAGGGUCUCAAACCUGAAGCUUAACUGUCCAUUUCCCUCCACAGACAGUGCCUGAGCCACUGAGUUCCACCAGCAGUUUGUUUUUUUUUUUGUGUGGGAAGAUACAAUUUAUAGGUUCACAUACAGUCGGUGUGAAGCCAUUGGACUUGGUUGUGAAGAAGGAUGCCUUCUUCCAGUUUUCUGCAAUGAGGAGAUUUCCUUUGGCUCAGGGUACCCCAUGGCCGUGUUCUGAUUGGAAAGCGAAGACAGAAGACAUCGCAUCCAGCAUGUUUGCUAUUUGCCAGUUUAAAGCUUUAUCACAGAAUGAUGGGUCAUCAAUCUUCCGUUUGGAUUAAUUAUCACAAUAAGCCAUCUAAAGAGAGAUAAAGAUUACCGUUAUUUGUCACAUGAAGCACACAGUGAAAUGCAUUGUUCAUGUCAACAAGCAACACAGUGGUUUGUGUUUGUGUUUGUGAUUGUGCUGGGGGAGGGAGUGGGUGAAUAAAUGUCACCAUGCUUGCCACACCAAAGUAGCAUGCCCAUCAACUCACCAAUUCUUUGUAAUGUGCAAGGAAACUGGAGCACCUGAGGAAACUUAUGAGGUCAUGGGGAGAACAGAGAAAUUAGUAACAAAUUCCUUAGAAACAGGAAUUGAACCCUGAUCAGUGAGUGUUACACUGCUAACUAAUCCAAUAGAGACACAAGGAGUGGCAGAUGUUGGAACACAGCUUGUGUCUCUAUCUCCACUUGUCCCUUCUGCCCUGAGUCCACCUGAUUCAAAACCCAAGCCUGUCUCAUCAUUCAUGCCCUGGGGAAUUCCUGCUGCUUUUAAAGGUUGGAAAGCUGGUGAAAUUUUCCAAGACAUUAGAUUAUAUUAAAGAUCAGCUUUUCUUGGUCAUAUGUACGUUGAAACACAAUGAAAUGCAUCAUGUUUUCAUCAAAUCAGGUCAGCGAGGAUUCUGCUCAACAGCCCACAUGUGUCGCCAUGUUUAAGAUGCCAACGUUGGUUCAAAGGUUCAAAGGUCAAGUUUAAUGUCAGAGAAAUGUAUACAAUAUACAUCCUGAAAUGCUUUGUCUUUGCAAAACAUCCACAAAACCAGAGAAGUGCCCCAAAGAGUGAACGACAGUUAAAUGUGAGAACCCCAAAGUCCCUCCCAGCUCCUCUCCCUCCCACAUGUAAGCAGCAGCGAGCAACGAUCCUCCUCCCCCCCCCACCAGCAACAAAAAUUGCAUCGAGCCCAAGCGAAGCAAUAGCAAAGACACAGACCAAAGUUACCCCAAAAGCUUCAUAUUUCAUCUAAAAUUCAACAACCCACAGGUUCUUUCUCUCCCGGGCAAGGGAGAGGGAGGUGUCGCCCAUUUUCACAGUGAGUGGGAGACAUAACAACAACCCACGAUGUUUACGAUGUUAAAAGUCAGUUUUAUCGCUCUUUUCGAGAUCUGUGUCCAAAGAUCGCAAAGACCUCAGGUCUUCGGGCCUACAGCGAAAGAUUUUCUGGCCUCACCAACGACACGAGUCUCCAGCUGUGACACUGACCCUAAAACCGCCCCUCUCCAGAGCCCUAAGAUCCAAGGCUUCCGAACACGAUCAAGACUCUCAGGCCAAACCCUUGGCGUGUUGAAUAGCGGCCAGUCAUUGAACAUAGAAUGCUCACAAAUCACAAAACCUAACUCCGCAUUUUAUUUUGGAAUGUGGGCGGAAACUAGUGCACCAGGAGAAAAUCCAAUCGGUCACGGAGAGGACCUACAAACUCCUUACAGGCAGCAGCAGGAAUCGUGAUCAUCGGCACAGUAACAGCGUUAUGGUAACUGUUACGCCACUGUACCAUGAAAGAAAAUUAUCCUUCUGUAUCUUUCCCUCUUGUGGAAACAUCAGAAUUUGAUAUCUAAGUAACCAAGGGUGAUCAAAUUCACCCUCAGUCAUCCUUAAGGUAGGUAAUUGAGAAUUUAGUUGGACGUGAAAGGCCCCAUAACUCUGUUCUGAAGUAGGACAAACAACCAGUAUGCAAAAGAAGAUAAACUAAGCAAGUACAACAUUAAACGAAUAAUUAAUAAAUAAAGAAACAAACAAACAAAUAGAUAGAUAGAUAGAUAAAUAAAUAACACUAACAACAUAAGUUACAGAGUCAUGGAAAAGUACAGCAUAGAAACAGGCCCUUUGGCCCAUCUAGUCCAUACUAAACCAUUUAAACUGCCUACUCCCAUCGAUCUGCACUGGGCCCAUAGCCCUCCAUACCCUUACCAUCCAUGUACCUUUCCAAACUUCUCUUAAACCUCAAAAACAAGCUUGCAUGCACCACUUUCCACAUUCUCGUGACUCUCAGAGUGAAGAAGUUUUGCCUCAUGUUCCUCUUAAACUUUUCACUUUUCACCCUUAACCCACGACCUCCAGUUGUAGUCAUAGGUUGUAGAGUCCUUGAAAGUGAGUCAAUCCAUUGGUUGUGCUGAGUGAUCUGUUCAGAGCGAAGUUACCCAGGCUGGUUCAGGAACCUGAUGGGUGUAGGGUAAUAACUGCUCCUGAACCUGGUGGUGUAGGACCGAAGACUCCUGUAACCUCUUUCCUGAUGGCAGCAGUGAGAAAAGAGCAUGGCUUGGAUGGUGGGGUUGGGGGGUGGAUGGGGAAGGCGGGGUUCUUAGUGAUGGUGUUGCCCUCCUGUGGUAGUGCUCCUUGUAGAUGUUGUCAAUGAUGGGAAGGGCUUUUCUUGUGAUGGACUAGGCCUUAUCCAUUACUUUUGGCAGUCUUUACCUCUCCCCCUCCCUCCGCUACCUGAUUCCACCUAUCUAAAACCUUUCCUCACCUGGAUCCACCUAUCAGUGGCCGUACCCCUUUCCUCUACCUUUUUAUACUGGCUAUCAUCCUUCCACCUUUUUCAGGGGUCCCAACCUAUUUAUGGUCUGGACCACUACCAUUCACCAAGGGGUUCAUGUACCCUAGGUUGGUACCCCCUGCAUUCUUUCAGUCCAAAUGUAAAUUCUUGACCCGAAACAUCAAUUGUCCAUUUCCCUCCACGGAUACUACCUGAUUCACCGAGUUCCCUCAACAGUUGGUCUUUUGCUCAAUGUUGAAUACAAAUAAGUGUAUUUUGCUGUUAACUUAAGUCAGUCACAAUAAACAGAUUUGAGAUGCUGCAAACUCCACAAAAUAAUCAAAUUGACCCCUCAACCUUUCACCCAAAAGCUGCUGAAGUUGGGGGACUGUUUCAUCGAGCACCUCUGCUCCAUCCACCACUAGUGGGACUUCCCGGUGGUCAAACAGUUUACUGUAAUUCUCAUUCCCAUUCCUGUUCCGACGUGUCAAUCCAUGGCAUCCUCUUGUGCCAAGAUGAGGCCACCCUCAGGGUGGAGGAUCAACACCUUAUAUUCCACCUUGGUACCUUCCAAUCUGGUGGUAUGAAUAUCAAUUUCUCCUAGUGAAUAAUAUUUCCCCCCCCUCCUCUAUUCCCCACUUCGACCUUUUACCUUCUCACCUGCCUAUUACUUCCCCCGGCUACCCCCUCCUUCCCUUUCUCCUAUUCUCUUCCCCAGUCAGAUCCUUUCUUCUCCAGCCCUUGACCUUUCCCAUCCACCUGGCUUCACCUAUCACUUUCCAGCUCACCUCUUUCCCCUCCCCCACCAUUUAAUUCAGGCAUCUGCCCCCUUUCGUCUCAGGGUCUCAGGUCAAAAUGUCGAUUGUUCAUUCCUCUCCGUAGAUGCUACCUGACCUGCUGAGUUCCUCCAGCAUUUCGUGUAUGUUGCUUUGAAUUUAUCAAGUCCUUUAUUAAUUAUUUUCCUGCUUUGUGAGGGAAAAUACAUCAAAAUCCUGACCGUGGCACAAAUGAAAGAGGUACAUUAUCUAUCAGCUGAAAGAGAAGUACUCUAAGCUCAAACACUGAUGAACGUUUCUUCAAGGCCUCAGAUAUUUUUAAUACUCUCUCCUGGAAUUUAUCUGCGCCACAUUAAAUCUGACAGCUUCAAAUCAAGAGUUAUACUUGCUAAUCCAAGCAGUGUCAGCGUGGCACUACAAAAACAUUAAUCAAAUGCAUUUACUUUGCACUCUGCUUGUUCGUGGUUUUUUAGGCAGUCCAGCUGGGAAAUGGGGCUCUGUGAUGUGGCAUGGGAAUCAUGCCCUGGUAUUUUGUGGUCAACAGCACACUGGAGUCAGUGUACUUUCCUCGAGACUGGAAUCCACUGACUCAGACAAGGCGGUUACAAGGUCAACAUUGUUCAUGCUUCACUCCGUUAGUGCUCCGCAUGUUACAGAGGGGAAAGCACAACUAGGUUUUAACUGAGGGGAACUGUUCCACCAGAACACAAGCAUGCAUUGAGUCUGAGGUUGGAUAGGUGUGUAGAAGUGUUAUUUUUUCUUGUGGUGUAGCUUUCUUAUGCUUAUCAACUGUGUACAAUCGUUCAGUGACUUGUUUGUAGACCAUAAGACGAGAAGACAAUAGGCCAUUCGGCCCCUCAGGUCUGAUCCGCCAUUCGAUCACGACUGAGUUAUUAUCUCCCUCAAUCCCAUUCUCCUGCCUUCUCACUGAAAACUUUGCCACUCUGACUAAGCAAGAACCUAUAAACAUUCGUUCUAAAUACACUCUUUAACUUGGCCUCCACAGCUGUCCAUCUAUUCUGUAGCGGUGCCUACUGGUCCCAGACUCCCCCACAAUAGGAAGCAUCCUCUAGAACCAUCCACUGAGUCUGUAGCAGUUCUUGUAGAGAAGAACUGUCAGUCCAAUUGCCCUCAUGUAACACAGUCAAAUUGAAAACAUAUAAAUUACUGCAAAUUACAAAAUAAGUAAAUAGCGUUGGUGAGGAGAUGCGUCUCUACCAAAGGAGGUAUAUGGCACACCUUCCCUCUGCUAGCCUGUAGGUCACCCUUGGGCAAGGUGUAGCACCUGCUUAGCCCCCGAUCUGGGUCACGUAAAGCCAUGGGAGCAGGUGGUGGACGGUCGUAUGAGCAGCCAGUGCAGAUCACAAGUCCUGGUUAUGUGACCACUGACCCCAUGCAGACAGAAGAGUACUGAUAACGGCUGGGGUCACCCACUUGUAAAGACACUGUCCAGAAGAAGGCAAUGGCAAACCACUUCUGUAGAAAAAUUUGCCAAGGACAAUCAUGGUGACAGAAAGACCAUGAUCGUCCCUGUCAUACGAUGUGGCAUAUAAUGAUGAUGUCAAACGAUACGGCACACAAUGAUGAUGUCAUACGAUACAGCACAUAACAAACAAACAAAAUAAAUAGUGCAAAAGGAAAAAUGAGAUAGUGUUCAUGGGUUCAAGGGCAAUUCAGAAAUCUGUUGAUAGAGGAGGCGAAACUUCCUGAAUCACUGAGUAUAAGUCUUCACAUUUCAGUAACCCCUCCCCGAUGGUAUUAACAUAAAAGGAGUGUACUGUACCAGGUAGUGAGAAUCCAUAACAUCACCAGACACUAAGACAUAAGAGCAGAAUUAUGCCAUUCACUCCAUCGAGUCUGCUCAACUGUUUGAUCAUGUCUGAAUUAUUAUCCUUCUCAACCCCAUUAUCCUCCCCCUCCAUAAACUUUGAUGCUUUGACUAAUCAAGAACCCAACCAACCUCCGCAUUGAAUUUCCUGAGGAGACUGAGUGCCUUUAACAUCUGCCGGACAAUGCUGAGGAUGUUCUACGAGGCUGUGGUGGCCAGUACUAUCAUGUUUGCUGUUGUGUGCUGGGGCAGCAGGCUGAGGGUAGCAGACACCAACAGAAUCAACAAACUCAUUUGUAAGGCCAGUGAUGUUACGGGGGUGGAACUAGACUCUCUGAUGGUGAUGUCUGAAAAGAGGAUGCUGUCCAAGUUGCAUGCCAUCUUGGACAAUGACUCCCAUCCAUUCCAUAAUGUACUGGUUAGGCACAGGAGUACAUUGAGCCAGAGACUCAUUCCACCGAGAUGUAACACUGAGCGUCAUAGGAAGUCAUUCCUGCCUGUGGCCAUCAAACUUUACAACUCCUCCCUCGGAGUGUCAGACACCCUGAGCCAAUAGGCUGGUCUUGGGCUUAUUUCCACUUGGCAUGAUUAACUUAUUAUUAUUUAAUCAUUUAUGGUUUUAUAUUGCUGUAUUUCUUCACUCCUCUUGGUUGGUGCGACUGUAACGAAACCCAGUUUCCCUUGGGAUCAGUAAAGUAUGUCUGUCUGUCUGUCUGAAUAUAUUUCCAGUGGUUACAAUUGCCUCUCUAUUUUUCUGGAAACUCCUUUGUUUCAGUGGCAGGUGUUACACUACUUGGAUCUGGCUAUCUUACUGGUUAAUUGUUAUCAAUGGAAUUUUUGCUAUGAGUAGUCUGGUAUGAGAAGAACACACUUCUUCUCAGUGCUUCUUCAUCAUCUCUUUCUUUGUUCUUAAUAAAAUGAUCAUUAGCAACAAAUUUGAUGCCUCAUUCUUCUGAAGAUCUUUAGGAUUGCAAAAGCAUCUGGAUCGAACAGCAGAGAGUAAACAACAGUGCAAGCUUGAGGGGAGAAUCACUUGACA